GCUAAACAGCUAGCUCAACUACUAAGAUUAACAUUACAAUAUUUUAUAUCUUACAUAACCCAAUUACUAAAAAUCAAAUCAUUUUCCUGCCUUAGUACGGGCGACAGAAAAGGCACUAAAAGCAAUAGAACCAGUACCGCAAGGGAAAGCUGAAAAAGAAAUGAAAUAACUCAUUUAAGCGAUAAAAAGCAGAGAUUUACCCUCGUACCUUUUGCAUCAUGAUUUAGUUAGAACUUUUGAGCAAAAAGAAAUUUUAGUUCUUAACCCCGAAACCAAGUGAGCUACCCCGAGACAGCCUAUUUCAGGGCCAACCCGUCUCUGUGGCAAAAGAGUGGGAAGAUCUCCGGGUAGGGGUGACAGACCUAUCGAACUUGGUGAUAGCUGGUUGCCUAAGAAAUGGAUGUAAGUUCAGCCUCGUAUUCCUCUACUCAUAUAAGCAUAACUGCCACACGAGACAGAGAAAAUUAUGAGAGUUAUUCAAAGGGGGUACAGCCCCUUUGAACCAGGACACAACCUGACCAGGAGGUUAAGAGUCACAUUUUAUAAAGAUAAAUUGCUUUAGUGGGCCUAAAAGCAGCCAUCUAUAAAGAAAGCGUUAAAGCUCAGAUGAGCCUAAAAUUUAUUAUCCUGAUAAGUAACCCCUAAACCCCUAUUAAUAUUAGGCCAUUCCAUGCUUACAUGGAAGAGAUACUGCUAAAAUGAGUAACAAGAAGGUAACCCCUUCUCCACGCCCUAGUGUAAAUUAGAUCGGACCCACCACUAAUAAUUAACGAGCCCAACUAAAGAGGGAAUUGUGGUUACAUAGUAAAAUCAAGAAAACCCCACUUAUAUACAUCGUUAACCCUACACCGGAAGGCUUCUAGGAAAGAUUAAAAGAAAGGGAAGGAACUCGGCAAACACAAGCCUCGCCUGUUUACCAAAAACAUCGCCUCCUGCAAACAUCAAUGUAUAAGAGGUCCUACCUGCCCAGUGACUAAGUUAAACGGCCGCGGUAUUUUGACCGUGCAAAGGUAGCGCAAUCACUUGUUUUUUAAAUAAAGACCUGUAUGAAUGGUGAAACGAGGGCUUAGCUGUCUCCCCUUUCUGAUCAGUGAAAUUGAUCUACCCGUGCAGAAGCGGGUAUAAGACUACAAGACGAGAAGACCCUAUGGAGCUUUAGACAUAAAAUCAACUAUGUUAAAAACCCCUAACUAAAGGAAUAAAACAAAAAAGCAACUGAUUAAUAGUCUUCGGUUGGGGCGACCACGGGGGAAAAUAAAUCCCCCAUGUGGAUUAGGGUAAUUACCUAAAACCACGAAACACAUUUCUAAGUCACAGAAUUUCUGACCAAUAGAUCCGGCACAUUACCGAUCAGCGGACCAAGUUACCCUAGGGAUAACAGCGCAAUCCUCUCCAAGAGUCCAUAUCGACAAGAGGGUUUACGACCUCGAUGUUGGAUCAGGACAUCCUAAUGGUGUAGCCGCUAUUAAGGGUUCGUUUGUUCAACGAUUAAAGUCCUACGUGAUCUGAGUUCAGACCGGAGUAAUCCAGGUCAGUUUCUAUCUGUAAAGCUACUUCUCCUAGUACGAAAGGACCGGAGACACAAGGCCCCUACCCCUGAUACGCCUUACUUUUACUCAAUGAAACCAACUCAAUUGAAUAAAAAAGAGCAUGAACCCCCAAAAGACAUUUGGA
rnacentral:rRNA from 1 species